UGGGGAAUAUUGGUCAAUGGGCGGGAGCCUGAACCAGCCAAGCCGCGUGAGGGAGGAAGGCCCUAUGGGUCGUAAACCUCUUUUGUCAGGGAACAAAAGCGAGUAUGUAUACUAGUCUGAGUGUACCUGAAGAAAAAGCAUCGGCUAACUCCGUGCCAGCAGCCGCGGUAAUACGGAGGAUGCGAGCGUUAUCCGGAUUUAUUGGGUUUAAAGGGUGCGUAGGCGGCGGUGCAAGUCAGCGGUAAAAGCCCGGGGGCUCAACCCCGGCGAGCCGUUGAAACUGCAGUGCUAGAGAAGGCGAGAGGUACGCGGAAUGCGCAGUGUAGCGGUGAAAUGCUUAGAUAUUGCGCAGAACUCCGAUUGCGAAGGCAGCGUACUGGCGCCUGACUGACGCUGAGGCACGAAAGCGUGGGGAUCGAACAGGAUUAGAUACC
rnacentral:rRNA from 1 species